UACGGAGGGUGCAAGCGUUGCUCGGAAUUAUUGGGCGUAAAGGGUUCGUAGGCGGUGUGGCAAGUCGGGAGUGAAAUCUCUGGGCUCAACUCAGAGACUGCUUCCGAAACUGCUGUGCUGGAGUGUGGAAGAGGCGCGUGGAAUUGCAGGUGUAGCGGUGAAAUGCGUAGAUAUCUGCAGGAACACCCGUGGCGAAAGCGGCGCGCUGGACCACUACUGACGCUGAGGAACGAAAGCUAGGGGAGCAAACAGG
rnacentral:rRNA from 1 species